GGAGGAGGAUGUGGUCACGUAGUCCAAGCGAGAGCUAAACCCACUUUACAGCAGUAACAUCUACUUGUUACCAGGGGUCUUGGGCACGUUUCUCACUGUGCUUGAUAAAUGCCCUAGUGCUGGAUGCAGGGGGAACGGGGCCGCAGCAGGUACUGAAGGGUGUGAGCUUUCAUAACUGGUUGUUUACCUCUAGGAAAAGCAUAAUUAGCUUUUUAGGCAAAGAACGUAAUUUUCUGAAUGUCCUGUCAGCAGUUUGUGGUUUUUCAUGAUCCAAGUUCCAUUGGCAGUAUCUGUCACCCACGCACUCUUUAGUUCUGCAGGACGCUGUGGAGUGGUCCCACUGACCCUGUUUGUGGGGACAUGGAGCUGGAGCUAAAGAGCCUUCUUUACUGCCCUGUCCCUGGGUGGUUUUGUAGCCUGGAGAGCAAGUUCUCACAAUGAGAAGGGCUUUGCUGUCAGUGUUUAGGCUGUUCAGCUUCCCCGUGGUUUAGCAGUGAUAGAUGCAGGCCUGUAAUGAAGUUUGGGGUAGAUGUAAAACAUGUGGUAAAAAGCUUCCUGCUGUUACUAAUCACCCUUUUUUUCCAUUUUCUUUUCUUCUUAAAUCCAGGCAAGCAUUAAGGGAGUCUAAGACAAUUGAAAUGAGGGUUUUUGGGAAUUUACAGGAGUUGCAACACGGUGCCGACAGGAAGCAUCAGAGCCUGCAGGAACAUCCCCAAGCUAACAGGAACCUCUGGAACCAGCAGUGCUUGCUGUGCCCAGCUGCAGUGGACUGGAAUGGUGUGGGCUUUGCUCACCCUGCUGAUUUCCAAAUCUGCAUCACAUGCAUGGGGAGAUGGGGAGUCCACAUCCUGUAUUGGCAGAGCCCAGUGUGUGCAUCAGAUGUCAGAGGAAGGAGCAAAGAAAAGGGAAAUGAAGGAAGGUUUUUAAACGAGGCUUUUGAUAGAGGGCAGAGAAGACAGCCCUGCAGUGCUGUUAGUACAGGCAAGAAUGAGAAUCCAGCCAUGCCUUUGUUCACCCGAACCAAAAGUACAAGUGAGGAAAAGGCAGCAUGGCAGCAGCCCAAAAUAGAAAUGCGAGGCAGGCUUGGGGACAGAAGGAACAGAGCAAAGCAAAGGAGAAGGAGCAGAUCCAGAGGUUUGCAACACAAAAAGUUAGUUUUUCAGGUCUGCUACACAACAAUGUAAGUGUCUUACGGGAAAAAAGCUGUUGUCCCAAUGACUGUGUUGCUUCUUUUGGAUCAUCCAGCAUGAGAAACAAGGAUGUUAUCCAGUGUUGAUGUGCCCAGAAGUCACCAGGAAUAUGACAUUUGCUCAUGUUUUUGCACUGUAACAUGAAUUCGAUUCCAGUGCCUUUACCUGGAUCUCUUCCAGCAGUUGAAGAUCCGCCUAAGAAUAUGAGCAUGCAAAGGGAACAAAACUAAAUAAAAUACAGUAUGAGCAUCUGACUGCCAUGCUCGUCUAAAACUAUCUCUCAGUAGUUCUUGCUUCUGCUAAUAAAACAUUCAGAGCUCAUUUUACUAUUUCUGAAAGUCACCUUUACUCAACCCAUCACUGCAGAGGAAAAGAACUCAACCUGUGCUGCUUUCUGCUUCCACAUACUGCGUGAGACUUUGGGAAUGAGCUUGAGAGCCUUAAAAAAUAACAAAGAAAAAAUCCAACGCAAUUGUUCAGGUGCUGGAAUAUAAUAAGAAAGUCAAGUCUUGCUUAUUCUGGGGCACUUGGAUUGCUGAUACCACCAGUAAAGUUUGGAUCUCAAGAAGUUAUUUAAACAAUGCUAGACUUUGGUAUUUUAUAUGUAAUACAUUCAUUGCAGGUCCAUCUUCAAAGUAAUAUCUGUGGCCAAAGGUUUGAUAACACAUUUCUUUUAGCAGUGAGUAAGGGUCAAGAUCAAAACCAUAUAGCUAUUAAUCUUAGGACUGAAAAUAUUUGUUCAUAUAUAUAUAUAUAUAAAAAUACAAAAAUGAUUCUAUAUUAUCUCUAUUGUCAGAUUUUGAAAUAUAAUGUAUCUAUUGAGCAAUUAUAGCAUGUUUUACCACCAGAAAUAUUUAGUUUAAAUGCCCAAGUUUUAAGGAGAGAGAACAUGUGGAUUUGUAAAUGCCAGAUGCAUUUGCUGUCCUGGCAAGGAAAAUACCUUUUUUCUCUUAUGAAUGCAGCAAUUGCUAAUAACAUGAAUGCAGGGGGUGCAAUGUCAGUUUUUCCAGCCAGUUUCUAGUGAUCACACUUUAGAAUGGAUAUGUUUCCCCUCUGCUCUGAAAUGUGAGAUUGAAUUGGUGGAGAUUCCCACGAGAGCUGUCCAGGAGCAGUUGAUAUCACCCCUCUGACUGCUGCCUGUGGUUCUUUGGGAGCAUGAAAGCCAAUGCCAGCUGACACGUGCACCUGGCUUGGCAAAUACUGAUAAAAAAUUCAGUGUUGGGCCUUGAUACUAAAAUCAAAAUUAAAAAACUCUGAGGAUUUGUAGAGAGGCUGUCCUUGGGGAAGAAAGGGUGCAUGAUGAGAGUUGGAGCAUGCUUUAAAAAGGUGAGAAGGCCUUGUUUCUGUUGAACAUGUUGAGCUAACAUUGCUUGCAGUGCCACAGCACAGUGACCAUGACUCCUGCUUGUGCAUUUGGAAAUAAAGACAAGGACUGGGAGUGAGCACUGCCCAGAGCCCAGCAGGGAAACCUCAAACUGUGCUGCUGCUGGGGCAGCAAGGUCCUUGUCCCCUGACUGAUGCUGGUUCUCUGGGGCUGAGUUAAGCCCCAGGUGAUGCAGGCAGAGUGCAGCUGACAGUUUGCUGUGUGGGUGGCUGUUUCUCAGGGUAUGAAAUGCAUGAAAUGAUCACAUAUUCAGACAAAAGCCCCGGGGAAAUGCAUUAUUUACCACCCUGCCUCCUGCUGGUGUUUAGUCUGGAGCUAAGUGCAGCUUUGGCUGCAAUGAUCAAUGUGCAGAGCCUGUGGGGCUGCCAGGAAUGGAUCUGGGAGCCACGCUGAGGACCAGCUUUUCUACUGCUUUCAAAAUCACUUUGCAUCUGACAGUGUGAACUGGUGUUGGAAUAAAUCAGCCAAGACUCCCUUUUCUACAUGCAGAAAGCCAAUUCUUUAUUCACAGAGCUCAUAUUUGUAGGAAAUAUCAGCACUGGUCAGCAGUACAGUGAAACUCAGUUCAUUGGCCAGUAAGGGCUGUUGCUUAUGUCCAUCAAAUUUUCUCUCACUCUAGAUAUGCUUACAUUUUUCCUCUGUGGUUUCUCUGGGACAAAUCUUAUUGUUUACACAGGUGCAUUUGUUUUUCACCCUCAGAAUAGAUUGUUGUGUUAAAGGAACUUCUCAUUUUCAAAAUGGCUUCACAUGGGAACUUGCAAAUUGCUUGUGAGCUGCACUUAGAAGAAAAGCCAGGCCAGCUUUGGCAAUUUUAGCAGAGUGAGGCCUGAUUUCAUAAGGCUUUUCUUUCAUAAUUCUUCUACUUGUCUACAACAUCUCACCCUUUUGGUUAAUUUAAAAAAGGCUCAUAUGUUCUCAUGUUAAAACAACUUACUCUUGUGAGGGUAUUAUCUCAUUACGGUUAUCACUGGUUAUCUCUUAGAUAUGGGAUAAGAUACAUAGAAGACCAAUUACAAUUAACAAAAUGUACCAAAUUCUAUCAUGUCAUUGACACAGGGUUUCACAGCAUGAGAAAACAAAACAGCAAUAUUCAAUGUCUCUUAGGGAAAUGUAAAUAAAUGACUAUUGUUUUAAAGUCCAAAUA